AAAAAUCUUAUAAUUUUUAUUUUAUUUAUAUUAGAACUUUGUAUCGUUUGUUUAAAAUGACUUUGAAGACAAUUGACGACAACUUUACGGUUGAUUGAUUUUCGGAACAAAUGCGAAGUAAUGGUUAUUUUGAACGGACAUAAACCGAGUUCACCGCUUUCCAACAUACGCACCAUUUUCACGAUUUUGUCAUUUAAAGCUUGGCUAAUGUCACGAAUUUUCCCAUCCUUAUUGUAAGGAAACUGCAAUAAUUAUCUGAGUAAAUGUCAGGACUUUCUGACAACCAGCGACUUGCAGUUUUGGGCAUGAUCCAAUGAAGCCUUUCACAGCAUACAAUUACGAGAAGACUGCAGUUGUAGCCUCUACAAUAACCCAAAUCAUCCACAUAUUCAACCAAAAUGGAUCAUUAAAUGGUCAGCCACAUCCCAGGGUACAAAAAGCAAGAAACGCUCAGUCAGACCGAUACAUUUGGUCUUAAACCAAUUCAAUAUUGACUCUGUUUGCCGUCCAAAGGUCACGAGAGUUCAAUGGUGGUCAUGGUAGAUCUUUUGGAGCAUUUUCAGUAAAGCACAAUUUGCGCAGAAAUUGUUAAAGAGCACCAAAGUCUUUCCUCAGUGAUAUCUAAACGGCCGUCAGGCGUAAACAUCGAAUUCUGUAGACCAAAAAUCAUUCAUUAUGUACAAACACCCGUCAGUGGUGGUUACAUAGACAUUUGUCACCCAUCUUGGCCAACAGUAAAGUGUUUUGCCAGAUUUUGGUCCGAUCGAGGAAAUUUUGCAUCAGAUUGGACAUGGUUUAGACGAUGAAAACCACCACCAAUAUCAUAACGUCAGCUAGAGUUUGCUUUGCGGGACAAGUGGA
rnacentral:lncRNA from 1 species